AUACGUAGGGUGCGAGCGUUGCUCGGAGUUACUGGGCUUAAAGUGUGCGUAGGCGGUCUUGCAAGUCUACGAUAAAAGACCAGGGCUUAACCCUGGGGCUGUCGUAGGUACUGCGGGGCUAGGGUCUACUUUAGGCUAGUAGAAUUCCCGGUGUAGCGGUGAGAUGCGUAGAUAUCGGGAGGAAUGCCGAAAGCGGAGGCAGCUAGCUGAGGUAGUACCGACGCUGAUGCACGAAGGCGUGGGGAGCGAACAGGAUUAGAAACCCUAGUAGUCC
rnacentral:rRNA from 1 species